rnacentral:rRNA from 1 species
GAGCAACGCCGGGUGUGUUAUGAAGGCUUUCGGGUCGUAAAGCACUGUUGUAUGGGAAGAACAGCUAGAAUAGGAAAGGAUUUUAGUUUGACGGUACCAUACCAGAAAGGGAGGGCUAAAUACGUGCCAGCAGCCGCGGUAAUACGUAUGUCCCGAGCGUUAUCCGGAUUUAUUGGGCGUAAAGCGAGCGCAGACGGUUUAUUAAGUCUGAUGUGAAAGCCCGGAGCUCAACUCCGGAAUGGCAUGGAAACUGG